GAAAACACACAAAAAUAUGACAAGUAAUAAGAAAUCACUUCAAAUGCAAUAAAGUAAUUUCAACUACUAGAUUAUACCUGUCAAGUCACUAAUUUAAUCCUCGUCAUAAAUUGAGGAUGUAUUUUUGUGAUAGAACCGCAAUGAGCACACAUGAAAAUUGCUCAAUAGACCAGCAAAAUGGGAGCUACCCUCCUAUAAAAUGCAAGUAAUAUGCUUCAAAUAGUGGGACCUACCUGAGAAGAGAGCCGUGGGGAUCA
rnacentral:misc_RNA from 1 species